CAUUAUGGUGGGCUGUGUGGGGGCGGAGAAAUCCGCGCCGGUUCCUCUUACCCGGUUAUGCCAACCCUGCACAGUUCACCACCCAA
rnacentral:antisense_RNA from 1 species